rnacentral:tRNA from 1 species
GUGGUCUAGUGGCUAGGAUUCCUGGUUUUCACCCAGGCGGCCCGGGUUCAAUUCCCGGC